rnacentral:rRNA from 1 species
UACAGAGGGUGCAAGCGUUAAUCGGAAUUACUGGGCGUAAAGCGUGCGUAGACGGUUAUGUAAGUCAGGUGUGAAAGCCCCGGGCUCAACCUGGGAAUUGCAUUUGAGACUGCAUAGCUAGGGUGCGGAAGAGGGAAGCGGAAUUUCCGGUGUAGCGGUGAAAUGCGUAGAUAUCGGAAGGAACACCUGUGGCGAAAGCGGCUCACUGGACCAUAACUGACGCUGAGGCACGAAAGCUAGGGGAGCAAACAGG